UUUUUUGCUUUUCUAUUUUUGCUUUUUUGUUUAAUUUUAGGUAAAGUAAAGACACAAAAGUAAAAAAAUUAAAAAAUCUUGCCCUUUAUAGUAGCAAGCUUAAAAAAAACUUGGCUUUUAAGCAUUACCAAACGGAGCCUUAGUGCCUAGUCAUUGAGAACACAGCAAAACAAAAGAUAUAAGCUAUUUUAGCUCUUUUGACGUGGAUCAUUUUUGAAAAUUUUGCUAGUUAAAGUAGCUAAAAAAUAAAUUGAGCCAACCAGACGUUGAUGCUCUGCUAAUUUUUUAACUAAAACCAAACAAUUAGUUGUUGAGUAAAAUGUUGAUAUUUUAGCCAAAAAACUGUACCGAAAACUAUUUUAGCUCAAAAGAAGCUAAAAAAAUAAGGCAAAAAGGCCCGUAGUAGUCUUAUUUGUUUGUGACAAUUGAUGAAAAUUAGGUAGAAAAAUACUUAAAGUGAGAAAAAUAUCACAAAAAAUGUUACCUCCCCCCCCGGAAAAAACUAGUAAACCAUCGACGGUCCCAUCCUUGUCAGAUUCUUCUAUGUAUGCAACACACUCGUCAAAUUCCUGACGGAGCUAUCCUAAAAAUGACCUCGUUUGGUGAAAUCUUUUAGUUAAUUAAAACUUGAACAGUUGAAUGAAAUAUGGAUCCUUCAAAGGCUUAACUUUAGAAGUGACACCUGGAGACCAUUAAGAGGUCUUCUAGGGUAGGUUUGGUGGGGACUAUAUAUCUAUAAUCAAAUCACAACUAACGUUUGAAUCCAAAAUUAUCUCUCGCUAUUUACGGCUAAAUCAAUGUGAAUUGAUCCAACGGCUCAGGAUUUCACUUCAAAUUAUUUUUUCCCGCCCCAAAAACAUCAUUUCACUCUUCUCCUCCCAUCACUCACUUUAUUUCUCGCAUCUAAUUCUCACUCUCUCUCCCUCUCAUCACUUUCACAUUUAACCCUUUAUAAUUUUUUGAAUACCCCUUUAUUCUUUGUUUUUUAUUUUUAAUUUUUAAAAUUUUUAUAUAAAAAUUUUUGAUAUAAAAUUUAUAACCCCUUUAUUUAUUUUUCUUUUAAUACCUAUUGAUCAUUUAUUUUUUCUUUUUACGUUCACUUCUGAAUUUUUAAUAUAAAAAAUAUAAAAAAAAUAUAUAAUUUCUUUUGGGGAGAUAUUGAGAGAAGUUAUAAUUCUUAUGUAAUGUUAAAUUUAUAUUUAUGAUACGUUAAAAGUUAUUAUUUUCUUAGGUAUUUAUGAUAAAUCAAACUACUAAAAAAUAGGUUAUUAAUUUCAAGGAUAGUCUCAAAUAACAAAUAACAUAUAAACUAUCAAACCCAUCAAAUUUUAAAAAAAAUAAUAAAAACUUUUGAAUCCAUAUUUUUUUUUCUUUUAUAAAAAAAUAAAGUGUGAUAACAAAAAAUUAUAAAAUUUAUCAUAAUUUUUUUUAUAUAAAAUUUGGAAGUGAAAGUAAAAAAAAAAAAAUCAAGAUCAAGGGGUAUUAAAAAGAAAAAAUACAAGGUGUAUAAAAUUUUUCAUAAUUUUUUAAUAUAUAAAUUCAAAGUGAAAGUAAAAAAAAAGAAUAAAGGGGUCUUAAAAAAAAAUAGAGAUGGGAUUAAAAAAUUAAUUAAAGGGUAUUAAAAAAGAAUAAAAUGGUUUGAAUGGGCAAAAUUAUAAUUUAGAAAGCAAUAAGAAAAAAAAAUUGAAAGUAAAAAAGAAAGUCCAUCAAGGUGUGGGGAUAUCAGGGUGAAAAAAACACUCUCUUAUGUUAGUUUAAUUAAAUUAGUUAAUUUUCUGAGAAAGUUAUGAGAUUACUUAUUGUGAUUGUUUUUUAUGUUAAUUUUUAUUAUCUUCUGCGAUGAAAAAAUUAAAAUUGAUUGAAAAUAUAUUUUUAUUUUUUUUGCAUAGUUGCCCGUGGGCACGGGCAAUUACUAGUAUAUAUAUAUGUACCCAACUAUUUAAUUUAUUUAAUGGGUAUGUCAAGAAUUUGUAUAUUAUUGAUAACACGAAUUUAUACUUCUAAUACCGUGUAUAAUUCACUGAGAUCUAGAAGACAUGAUUAUCAUCAUUUGUGCUAAAUGUUCGAAUGAUUGGUUAGGCUUAAUGGCAAGUUUGGUCCCCAACGUAUACCUUUUGUUCAAUUGUAAUCCCCAAUGUAUUAAUUGUAUUAAUUUAGUCUUUUAUGUUUUAAAUGUGUAUUUAAAUGGUCCCUACUCUCCUCAAAAAAUUAUUUUGUAUAUAGAAUUUCAUGAAAUAUUAUAAAUUUCUAUAUGAAAAUCUAUGCAUUUUUAAAAUUUUUAUUUGAAAUUUUUUUAUUUUUAGUAAUUUUUUUUUGGAGUAAGGACCAUUUAAAUACACAUUUGAAAUAUAAGAACUAAAUUAAUACAAUUAAUACAUUGAAGACCACAAUACGAUACAAGUUAUACGUUGGGACCAAACUUAUCAUUAAGUCAACUGGUUAAUAAGUAGAUUCAUACUUGAGAUCCACCGGGUAUCUUCCAUUCGAACCAAUCCCUCCACAUGAAAAAAAAAAGAGAGAAAGAAAAAUUAAAUACCUCAUCAUCAGAUUGAGAUUUGAUUGGAACCAUUCAUAAUUAGGAGGAUCAACUUCCGUCGAGACCGGAUUUUCCCUUCUGCCGGAAAAGGGCUCGACGAGAUUAAGUCCAUCUUUUCCAGCACAAAGGUUUGGCCAUUGUUGAGCUCUGUUUGGAGGAUUUUUCCACUUGAUCUGAAAAACAUGGAGACAGAGGAAACUUGGGUUUCCUAAAGACAAGUUGGCGAUCCAUCUUUCUCUACAGCCGCUCACUAUCUGACUAAAUUUAAAGAUGAAGUGUUAGUCUCACAAGCACGUAUCACUAAUUUGAUGGUUACUAAUUAAUUAAUUGAUGAAACAGGAUUCUACGUCUAACCGAAGGAAGCUUGGUUAGCUGGCGAUUCUGACUCGAGAGCUAUCAAUACGAUCACCGUCCAAAUACGGCGGAUUUUUAAUGAUUUUUAUAGAAUCUUUUCAUAUUAGUAUUUUUUUUUUUAAAAACAAUUACUUUUUUGUACUUUUGAUUCGUCUUUAAAGAUGAAAACCAAAAAGUAAUUUUUUUUUACAAAAUGACUAAAAAAAAUUCAAAAAACAAAAAUAUUGUGAAUGCAAAAUUUUAAAAUUGAGAUAUAAAAUUUUAUGAAAUUUUUAUUUUUUUCAAGGAUUAUAGGGAUGAAUGAUUCAAUUGGUAUAUUAGGGACUAAAAUGUGUGUACAAAAUCUUGGAGACCAAAAUUGCCAUAUGUUUUUUUAGGUCCAGAAGUCCCUAACUCUUAACAGUAAAUAGUAUAAACUGUGGCGUAGGACCAUUUUAAAAACACAUUUUAAACUUUUUUUUUCCUUUUCUUUGGUUCCUCUUUUUUUUUGUUUUUCUAGGGCGGACAAAAUUAAUAUAAUUGUUCAUAAAACCCCACAAUAAGACAAAGGUAAUAGCAUCAAACUUGUCAAUUAAGCCAAAACAAAACUUCCAAAGACAAAAGUUAGAUAUUAAUCAAGGAAACUGGUCAACAUUGGCCACCUAUUCCACGUGGUGACAAUUCAAACGAUAGCUCCAUUUGAUAUUUGAUUAAUUACAUUAACAUGUGAAUAACGUUUUUAUUGUUUUGGUCUGUACUAAAAGAGCCAAAUGCCAUUUGCCCAUUAAUCUUGGCUCCGUUGUAUAGCUUUUCGACUAUUUUUUAAAGCGAUAAAACAAAAAAAACAUAAAAGGAAUUGGCUGUUGUGCUUUUUUGUUGAUAUUUUUUAGUUCAUUUUUAACUAAAGAUAAUGUCAGAAAAACAAAAACUAAAAUUAAAAUUUUUUAAAACAGUUAAAAAAAACUUGACUUUACAAACAUUAUCAAAUGGAUCCCUUGUCAACACCACUUUUUCCUUUCUCUUCUCCUUUCGGCAGCAGUGUCUGGAUCUCUCAAUGAACCUAAGCAUGACACAAAGCCUUUCUCAUCUGAAAAACAUUUUUUAAAAAAACUUAAUAAGGUAAUUUAUUGUAUUGUGGUCCUCAUUAUACCAAUUGUAUUAAUUUCGUCUCCAUAUUUGAAAUGUGUCUUUAAAUGGUCUCUACUCUAAAAGUCAUAUGAUUUACUGUUAAGAGUUAUGGGCAUUCUGGACAUUAAAAAAAAAAAUAGCAAUUUUGGUCCCCCAAAAUAUUUUGUACUCAUAUUUUAGUCCCUAAUAUAUCAAUUGAAUCAAUUCAUCCCCAUAAUCUAGAAAAAAUAAAAAGAUUCAUAAAAAUUCAUACCUCCAAUUUUUAAAUUUUCGCAUCUCACAAAUAUUUUCCUCUUUCUGAACUUUUUUAGUCAUUGAAAAAAAACUACUUUGGUUCUCUUGAAGAACGAAAGAAAAAGUACAAAAAUUAAAAAUUUUGAAAAAAAAUUCAUAGAGAUGAAAGCUUUUAUAAAAAUCCGAUAAAUAUGAUUAAAUAUUAAAGGGAUUUGUCAAAUUAUUAUACGAAUCCAUAAAGAAUGUCUGGAUACGAAUAAACAAGGAUUUGAAAUCACAAAGAAAACUCACCAUUAUAUUUUUCUCGAGCAAAAAUAGUUGUUAUUGACAAGUUCCACACAUUCUCUACCCUCUCUUAUCGUCGGUCUUCCUCUCUCAUUAUCUUCUUCUUACAUAUAAUUUUGCAUACUUUAAUAAAAAUCUUAGAGCGUCCCUAAAUAUGAUUAAAUUUACUUAACUUCUUUUUUUAAUGUCUGAAACAAAUAGCAAAAGUAUCUGCUCAAUGGAAAAUUUGGACAAUUUCAAGGGGAUAGAAACUAUUGCCUGAAACGAGAAAUGAAAGAAGGCAACCAACAUUACCUAAUUUAGGUAUCACAUUGACCUUCCUGGUGAUGAUCACAAAAACGGAUCCCAAAUGACAGGAGCCCAAUUGCAUUAGGCUGGCAAUGUCAUCAUCACCUAAUAUAUAGCAGUCAUAAUCCUUUUCAGGACAAAAAAAAAAUGCACACACAAAAAUGAGCAAAUUCAUUGACCUCCCUGAAUUUUAUAUUAAAUACUUCACUUUGCUUGUAGUUAUUGAAAGUCACUGGUAUUUGGAUUAUCAAGAUUUUGUACUGCCAUCCAAGGAGCUAAAGUUUUUCUGGAAAAGACUUAGUGUAUUAGAAGGGAUUUUCUUUUCUUAAUUUCUUGGGAAUCUCUGUUUUGAAGAUUAAUAUAGGGGUAGUGUAUUGAUAAAUGAUGGUGUUUAGAGGGGAAAAAAAUAAGUAAUAUAUAUUUUAACUAGCGUAUUGAAAAGAAAAAAGAAAAGAGAAUGCCAUGCGUAAGGCAUUUAAGCCUUUUCUACCAAAAACUUAUUAUUACCAACUAGGCCAAAUUGACAGCAAGGGAAAAUCUUGAAAAUAAUUUCAAAAGUAAUAAAUAUAAGUGAUAUUUUAAAAAUUAUAAGAAAUAUAGUUGUAUUUGUCAAAAAUUUAAAAGUGAGAGAACUUUUUUUAGAGAGAGAAAGCGCAAAAUGUACCAUAAAUAAGUAGAUUCAAACUUGAGAUCCACCGGGUAUCUUCCAUUCGAAACAACCCUCACGUGAAAAAAAAAAGAGAAAGAAAAAAUUAUAUACCAUCGGAUGGGGAUUUGGAUUGGAACCAUUCAUAAUAGGGAGGAUCAAAUUCCGUCGAGACCGGAGUUCCUUCUGCCGAAAAAAAGGUGCAUCGACGAAGCUAAGUCCAUCUUUUCAAGACACAAAGUCUGGCAUUGUGGAGCUCGAUUUGAGGAUUUUUACACUUGAUCUAAAACCAUGGCAAGAGAAACUAGGUUUUCUGAAGGUUGUUUGAGCACGUACAUUGUCUUCCUAGCCUUGAUCUUCCAUUUUUGGAGUGCUUUCAGAUUCCGGAAGGGUAGGUACUAUUCCAUCAACGACCUCCCACAAGUCAUCCUCAGGGCAAGAAUUAAUACGACUCCGCCAACUCUGAUAGUUGUGGUUGAGGAGAAUCAAGAUGCAGUGGUCAAAAGUACUAAAGAGUUUGUGUCUAAGUUAAAGUGUCUUCCUAGAUUGUGUGUGUACUACUUUUUAUGUGAGAAAUAGUCAUCUCUUGUAAGUGAUAAUGUAUGUGUUGUACACAAAGUUAAGUGUUACAAUUGCUUGUAAUCAAUAAAUUAUUGUGAUUGUUUUGUCAAACUCUUCAUUUGGUUAUCAAAGCAAGGUUGGAUCGGGGUAGCCGUUGGUGAAAUAGUCGUGCACGAUUUGGUGAAUGUGAGCUUGUGGCUUGUUGGUGAAGAAGAGAGAGAGUCCCACCAAGUCACGAUGGUGGAUCUUGCGACAAAAACAACUAGUGGGUAGGAUCAUAAGAUUGUUGAGUGCUUGACACUCUCUUUCUUUCAUUUCCACAAAUGAAGACCCAUCCUAUUAUGGGACCAAGGAAUAAUUCUAGAGGCCACACACCACUCCAUGCUCAAGAUGCUUCUAAUGAAACUUCCUUCAUAUUUCAGAACAUUCUAGCACCACCAAAAGAUUUAGUAUAGUCCAUAUUACGCUUAGAAGGACGAAAGGACUCUAGCAAAGUCUAGAUAUUUUUUGAAAAAAUAUCACGGAAAGAUCUAGGUUCAUCCAGAAGCAAUGUACCCUGAAAACGUGGAUCGUUGCGAGUACAGGGAACGUGGUUACAGGAACGCAAACGUCAUAUCUGCAGAACGUGGUACAGCUAGGGGAUACUGCAAACGUUUUUCCAAUUACAACGGUUUUUCAAUUAAUAAAGACGAUCUUUAAUUUAUUUAGGUAUACUGCCACGUUUCUAAUUACUUCUUAUAGUAGAUUGGAUGGUAUCAUUGUACACAUAUUUUUUACAUAAAAUUCACUUUUCAAGACUUAAAUAAUGAUGUGGCACAUUAUUUUUCGGAACGCUACAUUAUCAUGUUCCGAAUCGCGAACCAACCACGUUUGGGAUCAUGCGAUCCAGAUCGCAAUUCGUUAGGGAUGGUGUGAAUUGUGAUAAUCCUGUCCGGAAGACUCCGAAAAAUUCAAGAGAGAUAGUGAUGAUCUUUCAACUGCUUCCAGCAAGAUCCUUAACCUUCCUUCCCGACCUCCCCAACACAUAUCGAACAGUACUCACCGAAUCUAUCACAAAUUAAAGAAAACAGAAUAAAAUAAAUCACAACAUCAACAGCUUAUGAAGGAAGAAACAAUCCUAAAAUAACCCUCCAACCAAAACAACCGAAAAAAUAGCACAAAACAAAAAAUUCUAUUGGACACCGAAAGAUAUCAACCGACAGAGGAGGAGGAAAGACGCAUUUGAAUCUCAACUUCAUAUUUUGUGGAAAAUUGGAAUUUGCUUCGAAAAAUUGUUGUUUGGCUAUCUCAAUCCUUGCUCUAGUUUCACAAGUUUGAGUUGGAAAUUGGGUGUUAAUUAAAAAGGCUGAUUUGAUACUAACCAUACACUGAUCUUCGUCGAAAUCUUAUAAAAAAAUUCCCAACUUAUCCUAAAACCCAUUUUAACCAUUUAAAGAAAACAUUCCAAUGCUCCGAUUCCUACUCUCUUAAAAACAUUCCAUAUUCGUUUGAAAAUUGAAAAAUCUUUGUCUAUGCCUUACUUUGAUGAAAAAUUAGGAUUUUCACCUUGAUUCAAUACGAAUUUGGUGACAGAUUGGAGCUCAUAUUUGCCUUUUCAUAUCAAAUCUAAAUUUGAAGAAAAGAAUUGGUGAAUGAUUGGAGAUGCACUUUACAGAUAGAUAUGAGUUCGAAGAACUUGUUCCGUAUCAGAAUUCAGAGAGAGAGAUUGAAUUUCACUUCCAAUUUGUAUGCGUCAAAAGUGACCCUAGACUCAUAUUCGAGCGAUCCAUUGUAAACGCAUCGUGAGAGAAACGAGAGAGAGACGGAGAAGAGAGAGAGAGAGAGAGGGCUCACUCUUGAAGGAGGUUGAGUAAGAAGGGCGAUGAGAAGACGGGAACGUUACGGAUUCGAUCCAGCAAGAAGUAAUCGUCGUGGAAUAAGGAGACUCCAACACCAAUUACCUCGCUCUAACGCCGGAUUCUUGCCCGAGAUUGUUCGGGGCUUCAUUCUAUUAGUGUUUUAAUCACCUUUUUGCUUAAAUUAUUUAAUUUUAAGUUACAUGUUGUUACCUAAUAUUUUUUUUUUAUUUAGGUGAUUUUUUAUUAGUUAUAGUGUUAAUUUAUAAUUUUUUUUAAUUAUAAAGAUGACUUUAAAGUUUUUUUUUUUAAACAACAAACUAAUUGAGUUUAUCCUUUAUUAAAAUGAAUAUAUUCUUUAUACAAUAAUAUUUUUUAUUCAAUAUAAACUUUUUUCGGUGUAGAGAAAUAAAUAUGUCUAAUAUUUUUUUAUAUUUAAAUGAAUUUUGAUUAAAUCUCAACCUAUUAAACGCGAACAAAACCUUUUAAUUUUAUCCUAUAUUAGUCAUGAAUCCGACUCAAUAAAAUUUUUUAAUGCCAUAAAAUACUGAAAGAUUACUUAACUGCAAGUUUUAGAAGUUAAAAAUGGAUUCUUUGAAAUUUAAAGAGAGUUUUUCAUGUUUCUUAAAAUUUAUUGGACUUAUGAUUCUAAUUUUAUAAUUACAUUGGGACUUAAUAAUUAAUUGACCUCAAUUGAAUAGUUAAAAGAAUGAGGGAACCGAGUUAAUACUUUAAUAACUGUUUAAAAAAGGUUACAUAGUUUUGGGUGAUUUUUAUUUUUAUCCUUUGAAAAUCUCAUUUGGCAUGUUUAUAUUUCUAACUUUAUUUUUUUAAUGCGCCCAAUUAAUAACUCUCACCCAAUGUUGUGAUGAAUGUGUCCCAAAAAUACCACAUAGACAUUUCUGACCCGGAAUCUGGUUCUUUUUUCGCUAAAUCAAGAAUGAUUGAUGAUAGAGUUAAUGAUUAGCCCUCGCAAAGGGGGAUCGGAUGGCGUGCGUGGGGUGGUGGCGCGGAGGUUUAAUCGUUCGAAUACAGAAGAUUAUAUUGAGGAGUAAAAACAGAAAAAGUGAUCUUACCUUACUUUAUUUAAUGGUACUUAUUGAUUUUAACCUCCAAGCAUUUGUUAUUACAAAUGUAAUGGUUGUUUGUAAUUAAAUUUUUAUAUGAUACUAGUCCACUUAAUGCAGAUAUUUUAAAUUUAGUUCUAAUUUGUUUAUUUUUAUUUUUAAGAUUGCAGCGGUUUUACCUAUACUGGUUUGGAAUAAAGAUAUUUUUUUAAAUUAAUUUUUUUUAAUAAUUUUAUUUCUAUUAGUCAAAGUAUUUAUUAUUCGAAUGACUAAAAAAAAAAAAAUUGACCCCCCAAAAAAAUAGCGAAAGAUAAAAUGCCCACUAAAAUCCAUACUAUCCAAAACUAACGCUAUUACUUGAUUAAUUUGAAUUUAGUUAACUUUUUUUUUAUAAAAAAAUACACCAUUUAUAUUGAUUAUCUUGAUAGGGUAGGUUACUGUUUAUUUUAGAACUUAAAGGAAGAUUUUAGUAUUUAUUAGAGACCUUAUGGUAGUUUACUAUAAUAUACCGUGUAAACAAUAAUUCAAUCAAAAAGAUCUAUCCAACAUGGAAUCAUCUGACAGGCUGAUUGUCCUCUGUUUUUCCUCUGUUUUUUCUUUUUGGUAGAAAAUACAGAAAUAAAUUUAGCUAGAAGUAAACAUCGUCCCGGAUAAUAAAAAAAAAAAAAAAAAAUGACAAUUAUUCUAAAAUGAUUUCAAAAAUAAUAAAUGUACAAAACAACCAUAAAAGUCAUCGGGCAUCUGGCCGAUAAAAACUAGAAGAUCUGCACCUCUGUUGCCUUUCCGGUAGAUAUGAUUAAUCAACUUCACCUGCAAUUGCAUCAUCAAGAAUCUGCAGUCACGACCUAAAUUAUUAAAUAUGUGUAUCGGCUCUUCUUUUCCAAUCAGCUGUAUUCACUGAAAGAAAACAUUAGUACCAUUCUUUUCCAUUUCUUUUCACUAAGUUCCCCCCACACCCUGAAUCUUCUCAAUGAAACUGAGCAUGACUUCCAAGCCUUUCUCAUCUGUAAAAAUAAAAAUUAAAAAAUAGAACCAGAGAGAUGGUGAAACAAUUAUUCUUGGUGCUAAUCCAAACCCUAACACAAGCCACUUAUUUGGGGGAAACUUUUUGGGGGGGGGGGGGGGGGGGGGGGGGGGUGGGUUGGUGGUUGGGUUUUUGAAUUUUGAGCAAUUUCAAAGGUAACCAUGUAAACUCGCCAUGUGAGGUGUUUGAAUCUAAUUGCACUACGUAAUAUAACUAUACACAUUUAACCACAAAAAAAUAUUAGUUAUACAUACUUAAAAUUAAAUAUUAUUUUCCACGGGGCGGGUCUCAACUAUCCACAUCCAUUCGUAGCUAGUCCUACGUAAUCUUAACUAAUACCACAACAAUCUAACCAAAAAUUACAUAAAGAGACAUGACACCCACAAAAAUAGAUAAAUUACCUAAAACUUUGUAAUAAUCUUAAGGAUGUGGAUAACGAAUUUCAAGAGGAAAAAAAAAUAGAAAUGGAAAAGUUAUGAGAGAAAAUAAAAUAAAAAUGAGAAGUUAAACGUAAUCGUCUCCAUUUAAUUUUUUUAAUCCAAAUUCUUGAUCCAAGCACAACCUAAAAUUGGCACAAUUCUACUUUGUAUGUACACACUCAUUCAUACAUUAACAAACAAUCCAUACCUAACCUACACCAUAACCAUAAUAAUAUUCCUUUGUAAAGAAGAAAUGAAGAAGCAACCAACAUACCUAAUUUUGCUGGUAGCAUGAAUUUAACUCUAAUACUGUGUAUAAUCCCUAAGAUCUAAGAGGCAUGACUAUCAUCCUUGUGGCUAAUGUGGUUAAAAGGUUUUGUUUUGAUAGUGACAUUGUUGUUGUGAACAUACUUUGAGCCUAAAUUUUAUUAAGUUUCAUAACACAAAUCAGAUGAACAAUGUAGCUUCAUGUUCUCCUAAAUGGAGUAAGAUGAAUUAGUGUAUUCAUUUGUCAAAAACAUGUUAAUAUUUGAAUGAUCAUUUGUUUCUUUCUUCUAAAGCUUCAUGUCAAAGAAAAAAAUGUGGAUAGACAAGUUGUUCCCACAUUGGAAAAAAGAAAAAAAAGUUGAUAGAAUAUAAACCGCAAUUUGGACAUCUUUAAAUUGGGCCCUUGGGCACCACAUUUUUUAAAGAAGAGGAGUUAUUUAUAAAGUGGGCCUGAUCCAUUUGCCUAUGGGUUUUUAAUGGGUUUGACCCACGUGCGCUGUGCCGUCAGCAGCCCGUCCCGACCCCGGUUCUGUUCGGGUUCGGUGGGGGCAGGCUUGGGCCUUGGUACUUAAUUGUAAUUUAAUUUUUAGAGAAAUUUAUCAAUUAUGUUAGAUUUCUAAAUUAAGAAAUUAUAUUUUAUUCUCUAGAGUUAACUUUCUUUUGCGAACAGUCACACUGUUUCGAAUUUAAACGAAACGGGAAUUAAGAAUUUUUUCCUUUAAUCCGCGAAUAGGUGGCAACUUUCAAUUGAAUGCAGAAAGGUCCCUGUGCAUAACUGUUUGGCCGAAUAGGGUUAUUUGUGCCGAAUGGUUGCCUUUCCAAAUGAAGAGUGCCCUCCAGAAAGGUGUGUUGUGCUUCUAUAAAUACCUCCCCACCACAUUCUUCAUUGAUUCGAAAAUCAUUUCAAUAAGUGUUAGCCCAAGGCGUCAUCCGAUUAUAUUGCAAAUAUUUUGAUGAUAACAAAUUCUAUCUUAUUGCUCUAAAUGUAUUUAAUAAUUCAAGUAUGAUAGUUGCAAGCAAUAUUCAAGCACCAUAUUCUCAAGGAGCAAAAAUAAUCAAAGAUAUUUGACUGCAAAGUAAGAGAACUUAAAGCCUGAAGAUCUCAAGAAUGAAGAACUUUUCAUUAGGUAUUUUUGUAAGCUCUUUUUAUGGUUAAAAUUCUUGAGGCCUUCCUAAAUGACCUUAAUAUCCUUCCAUGCAUUUUAAGAUACAAAAUGCCAUUACAAUUUAAAGUUCUUAAAAGUGCUAGCAAUAAUUCUUAUCUUUAAAAAUUUAAUUAACAUUUUAAAAAAUGGGUUAAGUAAUAAUUUUUGAUUUUGAAAAUUUAAUUCAAGUUUGAAAAAUUGGCUAGCAACAAUGUUUCUUUUCUGACUUUGAAAAUUUGAUAUUCAAAUUUGAAAAAUAUGCUAGCAACAAUUUCUUUCUGACUUUGAAAAUGUGAUUCCAAGUUUGAAAAAUUGGUUGCAACAAAUUUUGACUUUGAAAAUGUGGUUUGCAACUUUGAAAUUGGCAGAAAUAAUUUCUCUGACUUUGAAAAUGUAGUUGGCAACUUUUUUAAAAAAUUUUGAAUAGCGACCAAUUUCUGACUUUGAAAAUUUGAUUCCAUGUUUAAAAAAUUGGUUUAGCAACAAAUUCUGACUUUUGGAAAAUGGUUGUUGCAACUUUGAAAAAUUGAAAGAAACACUUUUCUUCUUUCUGACUUUGAAUGUAGUUGGCAACUUUUUGAAAAUUUGGCUAGCCAAACAAUUUCCUGACUUUUGAAAAUGUGAUUUCCAAUUUGAAAAUUGGCUAGCAAUUUUCAACUUCCCCUCCAACGUUUAAUUCUUGCCUAAGGCCUAUAAAUACAUAUCCUUAGAUUUCAUUUUUAUAAGACCAUC
rnacentral:lncRNA from 1 species